rnacentral:rRNA from 1 species
GACGUAGGUGGCGAACGUUAUCCGGAAUUAUUGGGCGUAAAGGAUGCGUAGAUGGUGUAGUAAGUUAUCGGUGGUAAAUCGAGGCUCAACCUCGUGGAAGCCGGUAAUACUUUUAUGCUAGAGGAUAGGAGAGGUUAACGGAACUCCCUGUGGAGCGGUGAAAUGCGUAGAUAUAGGGAAGAACACCAAUAAAGGCGAAGGCAGUUAACUAUUCUAUUCCUGACAUUGAGGCAUGAAAGCGUGGGGAGCAAAACGG